ACUAGGAUGUUGGCUCAGAAGCAGCCACCAUUUAAAGAGUGCGUAACAGCUCACUAGUCGAGUGCCUCCGCGCCGAAGAUUUACCGGGGCUAAGCAUGAUACCGAAUUCACGGAUUAAUAGUUUCUAUUAGUGGUAGGGGAGCGUUCCAUGAGGGUUGAAGCCAUAUCGAAAGAAGUGGUGGACUUCAUGGAAGUGAGUAUGCCGGUGUAAGUAACGAAUGAGGGUGAGAAUCCCUCACACCGUUUGACUAAGGUUUCCUGGGCAAGGUUCGUCCUCCCAGGGUAAGUCGGGACCUAAGGCGAGGCCGAAAGGCGUAGUCGAUGGACAGCAGGUUGAUAUUCCUGUACCCGUACAUAUGCGAAGUAAUGACAGAGAAGGCUAAACCAAGCCGGUUAAUGGAUUCCGGUCGAAGCGAGGUAGCUGCAUCAUAGGCAAAUCCGUGGUGCAUAAGGCGAAGGCGUGAGGGAGUGAAUGGAGCGAUCCUAGUAGCGAAGUGGUUGAUGCCAGCUUUCAAGAAAAGUUGCUAGCUUAAGUAUGUGCGGCCCGUACCGAGAACGAACACACGUGGUCAAGGAGAAUAUCCUAAGGUGAGCGAGAUAACUGUUGUUAAGGAACUCUGCAAAAUCACUUCGUAAGUUAGCAAGAAGAAGUGCUCCAGCGAUGGAGCCGCAGUGAAUAGGCCCAGGUAACUGUUUAACAAAAACACAGCUCUAUGCUAAGUCGUAAGACGAUGUAUAUGGGGUGACGCCUGCCCAGUGCUGGAAGGUUAAAAGGAGAGGUUAGCGCAAGCGAAGCUUUGAUCUGAAGCCCCAGUGAACGGCGGCCGUAACUAUAACGGUCCUACGGUAGCGAAAUUCCUUGUCAGGUACGUUCUGACGCGCACGAAUGGCGUAAUAAUCUGGGCGCUGUCUCGACAGCAGACUCGGUGAAAUCUUAAUACCUGUGAAAAUGCAGGUUACCCGCGACUAGACGGAAAGACCCCAUGGAGCUUUACUAUAACUUAAUAUUGAGUGAUUGUAGUUCAUGUACAGGAUAGGUAGGAGGCUAUGAAGCCAGGGCGUCAGCUUUGGUGGAGCCAACGUUGGGAUACUACUCUUGGACUAUGAUCAUUCUAACUCACGCCCUACACGGGGUGGAGGACAGUGUUAGGCGGGUAGUUUGACUGGGGCGGUCGCCUCCUAAAAGGUAACGGAGGCGCCCAAAGGUACCCUCAGCAUGGUUGGAAAUCAUGCAUCGAGUGCAAAGGCAUAAGGGUGCUUGACUGCGAGACAUACAAGUCGAGCAGGGACGAAAGUCGGGCUUAGUGAUCCGGCGGUUCCGCGUGGAAGGGCCGUCGCUCAACGGAUAAAAGCUACCCUGGGGAUAACAGGCUGAUCGCAUCCAAGAGUUCACAUCGACGAUGCGGUUUGGCACCUCGAUGUCGGCUCAUCUC
rnacentral:rRNA from 1 species